AUCGGACGCAGUGUUUGUUUACAUUUUAUAACACUAAGACGUUUGUAUAAUAACAAAUAAGUUAAAAGUAUAAUAAUAUUUAAACAUACUUCAAAUUAUACAAACUUUUGAUAUAAAAGGUAUUAUAAAUUAUUUAGUCACCUAAAGAAAGUUGCUAAGUAAUUUAUCGAUAUUUCUUUUGUGUUUAAGUGAUGUUCUGAUCUAAAUAUAUAUAUAAAUAUAAAAAAAUGGUUUAUCACAACAAUUAUGAUUCGACACAAGGCCUCCACCGUUGGUUCACGGAUUUUGACGGUUGGGUUGCGGACUACAGAUCUGUUUGUCAACAAAGAUCCUAUCCUGCAAACGACGCGCACCGUAAAGAUGAACCGCUGAUGAAAGACAAAGUUUUCCGACAACGAUUCGGUUCUUGCAAACAACAGUCAUAUAACAUUGUGUUUAAAACAAACAUGAACAGAUUUACAUACAAAUAUACGAGAUCUAAACUUUA